rnacentral:rRNA from 1 species
AAUGAACGCUGGCGGCGUGCCUAACACAUGCAAGUCGAACGAGAAAGGGGCCUUCGGGUCCUGAGUAAAGUGGCGAACGGGUGAGUAACGCGUGGGUAACCUGUCCUCGAGUGGGGAAUAACCUGGCGAAAGCUAGGCUAAUACCGCAUGAUAUCCUCGAUUCUCCGGAAUUGAGGCUCAAAGGUGGCGAACUUCGAGUGCUGACGCUCGAGAGGGGGCCUGCGUCCCAUUAGCAGUUGGUGAGGUAAUGGCCCACCAAGGCUUCGAUGGGUAGCCGAGCUGAGAGGCUGAUCGGCCACACUGGAACUGAGACACGGUCCAGACUCCUACGGGAGGCAGCAGU